rnacentral:misc_RNA from 1 species
AAGUCGUAACAAGGUUUCCGUAGGUGAACCUGCGGAAGGAUCAUUACAAAUCUUUUGUGAGAGCUGCGUGCUGUUAUGCAGUGCGCAGUGACUCCAACAUUAGCACAGGGUUGCAAAACUCUGAUGUUUACGCUUGUUUGUUUGACAGAGUUAGUUGAGAAAUAAAUAAAGACAACUUUUAACAAUGGAUCUCUUGGCUCUU